UACGAAGGGGGCUAGCGUUGCUCGGAAUCACUGGGCGUAAAGCGCACGUAGGCGGAUUGCUAAGUCAGGGGUGAAAUCCUGGAGCUCAACUCCAGAACUGCCUUUGAUACUGGCAACCUUGAGUCCGGGAGAGGUGAGUGGAACUGCGAGUGUAGAGGUGAAAUUCGUAGAUAUUCGCAAGAACACCAGUGGCGAAGGCGGCUCACUGGCCCGAUACUGACGCUGAGGUGCGAAAGCGUGGGGAGCAAACAGGG
rnacentral:rRNA from 1 species